UACGGGAGGCAGCAGUGGGGAAUAUUGCACAAUGGGCGAAAGCCUGAUGCAGCUAUGCCGCGUGUAUGAAGAAGGCCUUAGGGUUGUAAAGUACUUUCAUCGGGGAGGAAAAAACAAAACUAAUAAUUUUAUUUCUUGACGUUACCCGAAAAAGAAGCACCGGCUAACUCCGUGCCAGCAGCCGCGGUAAUACGGAGGGUGCUAGCGUUAAUCAGAAUUACUGGGCGUAAAGAGCACGUAGGUGGUUUUUUUAAGUCAGAUGUGAAAUCCCUGGGCUUUAACCUAGGAACUGCAUUUUGAAACUGAAAUACUAGAGUAUCGUAGAGGGAGGUAGAAUUCUAGGUGUAGCGGUGAAAUGCGUAGAUAUCUGGAGGAAUACCUGUGGCGAAAGCGGCCUCCUAAACGAAUACUGACACUGAGGGUGCGAAAGCGUGGGGAGCAAACAGGGAUUAGAUACC
rnacentral:rRNA from 1 species